rnacentral:rRNA from 1 species
AGAGUUUGAUCCUGGCUCAGAUUGAACGCUGGUGGUAUGCUUAACACAUGCAAGUCGAACGCGGGUUUAACUUCGGUUAGACCUGAGUGGCGGACGGGUGAGUAACACGUAGGAAUCUACCUAUUAGUGGGGGACAAUCACUGGAAACGGUGACUAAUACCGCAUAAGCCCUACGGGGGAAAGUAUGGGAUCCACUUGUGGACCAUAUGCUAUUAGAUGAGCCUGCGUCGGAUUAGCUAGUUGGUAGGGUAAAGGCCUACCAAGGCGACGAUCCGUAGCUGGUUUGAGAGGAUGAUCAGCCACACUGGGACUGAGACACGGCCCAGACUCCUACGGGAGGCAGCAGUGGGGAAUAUUGGACAAUGGGGGCAACCCUGAUCCAGCAAUACCGCGUGUGUGAAGAAGGCCUUCGGGUUGUAAAGCACUUUCAGAUAGGAAGAAGGGUGGUACGUUAAUAGCGUAUUACUUUGACGGUACUGUCAGAAGAAGCACCGGCUAACUCCGUGCCAGCAGCCGCGGUAAUACGGAGGGUGCGAGCGUUAAUCGGAAUCACUGGGCGUAAAGCGCGCGUAGGCGGUUAAUUAAGCAAGAUGUGAAAGCCCCGGGCUCAA